AGUUUGAUCAUGGCUCAGAACGGACGCUGGCGGCAGGCUUAACACAUGCAAGUCGAGCGAACCCUUCGGGGUUAGCGGCGGACGGGUGAGUAACGCGUGGGAACGUGCCCUUCUCUACGGAAUAGCCCAGGGAAACUUGGAUUAAUACCGUAUACGCCCUUCGGGGGAAAGAUUUAUCGGCAAAGGAUCGGCCCGCGUUGGAUUAGGUAGUUGGUGGGGUAAUGGCCUACCAAGCCGACGAUCCAUAGCUGGUUUGAGAGGAUGAUCAGCCACACUGGGACUGAGACACGGCCCAGACUCCUACGGGAGGCAGCAGUGGGGAAUCUUAGACAAUGGGCGCAAGCCUGAUCUAGCCAUGCCGCGUGAGCGAUGAAGGCCUUAGGGUUGUAAAGCUCUUUCAGUGGGGAAGAUAAUGACUGUACCCACAGAAGAAGCCCCGGCUAACUCCGUG
rnacentral:rRNA from 1 species